GUAUGACAAGGGCUUGUAACAGAGCCCUUGGUAGCGAGCUGCCAGUCCCCAGUUAGUGCAGUGUGAGGGGACCCCAGCAAUGCAGGGUGACUCACUCCUUUUAUUUCAGGCUUUGAUACCUGGCCAGAUUUAAACCGUGUUUUCUAUUUUCUGUAUCUCAUAUAGUUGUGCUAAAACUUCUGGCCAGGAAGGAUUUUUGCAAGCUCUGUUUUAUCUGCACAGCCAAAUAUACUGCCUAAACCAGCUCCUGCCACUGGAUCAUCUCCUACUGCUUUAGAAAGGUUCCUAAGACUUUAGAGUGAGCUCCUGACUUGGCACAUCUGUAUUUCUGGCCACCGCUUUAAUGAUUAUACAGCUCUGCAAAGAUGCCAUGGCCUACAAAUAAGGUGUACCAAUCAACAGUGUAAGCACAGCCAUUAUGCCACUUGAAGAAGGACAUACGUGGCUUCCCAGCUCGUUUAUGACAGGCUGAGCUUUUUCUUCCCCGAGUCAACAGAAGCAACAUCACCAGUUUCCAUGUAUGGACAAAGCCUCCAGGGCAACACCCGGGGCCAACAGGUAUGACUGGCACUGAACCAUAGUAUCAAUUCACAAGAGCAUGCAGAUAAGCACAUAAAUAGCACUUGCUGAUGUUUAGUCUCAGAGCAGAAAGUGUAAAGAUUUGCAAAAUUUGCACGAACGUUAAAAAGAGUGUUUACUGCAUUACAGCUUUACCCAAAGUGUAGAUACUAUACAUACAAUUACUGUUUUGCAAGACUAUAUAUGAAGUUUAUAGGACAAUUAUUAAUUAGCAACCAUCUCUAUGUAAACUACUGUCCCAAAUACAAUUUGUAAAAUUUAGA